rnacentral:lncRNA from 1 species
GGCCAAGUGGCUCAUUGAAGCUGCUCUUCUUCCGACAUGUUCUCUUCCUUCUACCUGGCGAUAUCUGGGGUAAUCUACCAACAUUCCUUCUUCUUUUUUUUUAAUCAGACUUGUCUUCUACUUUUUAUUUUCAGUAGGUGCACGAUAUGCAUGCUCUAGAGAGUGGAUAUCGAAAGAUCACCGACUUUCACCGAUCAUGGAUGGACAAGGUAGCGGCCGUCACCGUCGAAAAGAAUACUACCAUCAAACAACUCCAAGCGGCAACUGGACAGGAGAAGGAACUUCAGGAG